rnacentral:rRNA from 1 species
GACGAACGCUGGCGGCGUGCUUAACACAUGCAAGUCGAACGGAAAGGCCCUGCUUUUGUGGGGUGCUCGAGUGGCGAACGGGUGAGUAACACGUGAGUAACCUGCCCUUGACUCUGGGAUAACUUCAGGAAACUGGGGCUAAUACCGGAUAGGAGCUCCUGCUGCAUGGUGGGGGUUGGAAAGUUUCGGCGGUUGGGGAUGGACUCGCGGCUUAUCAGCUUGUUGGUGGGGUAGUGGCUUACCAAGGCUUUGACGGGUAGCCGGCCUGAGAGGGUGACCGGCCACAGUGGGACUGAGAUACGGCCCAGACUCGUACGGGAGGCAGCAGUGGGGAAUAUUGCACAAUGGGCGGAAGCCUGAUGCAGCAACGCCGCGUGCGGGAUGACGGCCUUCGGGUUGUAAACCGCUUUCGCCUGUGACGAAGCGUGAGUGACGGUAAUGGGUAAAGAAGCACCGGCUAACUACGUG